GAAGUUAGCGGCGGACGGGUGAGUAACACGUGGGUAACCUGCCCAUAAGACUGGGAUAACUCCGGGAAACCGGGGCUAAUACCGGAUAACAUUUUGAACCGCAUGGUUCGAAAUUGAAAGGCGGCUUCGGCUGUCACUUAUGGAUGGACCCGCGUCGCAUUAGCUAGUUGGUGAGGUAACGGCUCACCAAGGCAACGAUGCGUAGCCGACCUGAGAGGGUGAUCGGCCACACUGGGACUGAGACACGGCCCAGACUCCUACGGGAGGCAGCAGUAGGGAAUCUUCCGCAAUGGACGAAAGUCUGACGGAGCAACGCCGCGUGAGUGAUGAAGGCUUUCGGGUCGUAAAACUCUGUUGUUAGGGAAGAACAAGUGCUAGUUGAAUAAGCUGGCACCUUGACGGUACCUAACCAGAAAGCCACGGCUAACUACGUGCCAGCAGCCGCGGUAAU
rnacentral:rRNA from 1 species